AAACUUGAGCCUUCUCACAUUCAGAGUAUCCCAUUGGGUUCCUUUGCAUGCAUCCUUUGGUAAGGUUGCACAAUGGGUCAAUAUUCUCUAUUUUCUUUCUUUGCACUGGGGCUCUAGCUGCCAGAGGGGAAAAUAGCCACACACAGGGAAAUGGCAUAAGUUAAAAUCAAGCAAGCCUAGUGGGAUGGUAAUGAAUUUCCCAGCAUCCAAGGUUUUUUUUUUUUUUUUUUUUUUUUUUUGCCUCUGGGAUAUGUGAAGCUAGAAAACAAUGCCAUUCAUUCAACAUUUAUACAAAACACACAAUGUAAGCAGUACUGAGCUAAGUACUGGAGGGCAUGCAAAAGUAUGCAAAACAAUCCCUGCACAGGAUUCAUGCCAAGAAGUGCAUUUACCUUGCGACCCUUGAAGAAAUACAUAGGUGAAUAGAAACCCACUCGAAUUUUAAACUAAGCAUGGAAUGAUAUGUUUUAGGAAGCAGGACAAAUAAUGUGCUUUCAAAAUUUAUUUCUAGGUAUUACAAUGUGGAGUGCAUGGACCAGGGAAUAGGGUUCUUGGAGAAGCCUGAUUGAAAAGAGGCACUGCCUGGAUGCCUACACAGCGGAAUCCUAACAAAGAGGCCAGCAAUCUUAUCAGGGAAGUGGGUAACUUUCAGUAGAACUGGCCUCCAAGGAGGACAAAAGGCCCAACCAACUUCAGCUCCUUAACCCGCAUACUUUGCCCAGGCCAGACAGUAGUCUGAGUUGGCCAAAUUCCUCUGUGCACCCCAAACCAGCAUCUUCACACAGGCCGCCUACAUCCUGGAGACUGCCACGUGCGCCUGGGUUCUGGGCUCAAUCCCUAAACAGGCCCAGCGCCUUCAAGGUCGCCAUGGCAACUGAGGGGUUCCUAUCUUUGUCCCUCAGAGCCCAGCCGGGAAGUCCGGACCGCGGCAGCCCCGGCAGCCACCGGGAGGAAGCACUCUUGGCCCCUCCUCAGAGCAGGGGUAGCGCGAUCUUGAGCUGCAGGCGCCACUUUUGCCGCAUCAGUGGCUGCGCGCUCCACUUGGUUUAUCCAGGCUCGGAUCCGGAGCCCAGAGAGCUGCGCUGCCUUUAUCUUCACCUCUGUCGCCACCCGGCGGGCAGCUCCUCCAGGCAAGACGGGCGAUCGAUCUUCUUUCCCCGGCUUUACGGAUUUCCGGGGGCAAAGAAUUUUGCCUCGGUCCCUAAGAGCAUCUCUCAGCCUCAUUCCCCCUCCCCUUGCGACUCCCCCACGCUGUGGGCGCGCGCGCGCGCACAGACACUCACACUGGCAGGCGCGCGUGCGCACGCCCGCGCGCCCCGAGCCGCGGAGUCUCCAGCGCCCCUGAGCAGAUCCCACUCUCCCGGGCGCCGCUACUCACACAGGCUUCCAGCCGCCACGGGGCGUCCUCUGUCUGCGGCAGCGGCGACGGUGGCGGAGGGAAAGGCGUCUGCAGCCUGGCCCCGACUGGCAGCUUCGUGCUUGGGACAGAGUCCGGGAGAAGCGGAGAAGAAGGAGGACGCCAAGGCGAGGAGGAGCCGCGCCGCACCCGGCGCUCGGCUUUGCGCGGCGGGCUGCCUUCGCUCCGCGUACCGCGGCCCCAGAAUUUUGAAAGCGGCUUAA
rnacentral:lncRNA from 1 species